AUUGUUAUGCUUUUUUCUCUCUCUUAUCUUCUUAGAUAUUACACUGACCCUUCAUUUCUCUCUCAUUGUUGCCUUCUGCAUCUCCCUUUCUCUUUGUCGCUUUCCUCUCUCUAGCGGAUGGGUGGAUGUGGACGCCCUCAACGGGGUCGACGAGGAGGAAGGCAGUGGCGACCCUUCAGUGGUGCCUUCUCGGUCCACGGUCGUAGCAUCGCAGGUGGUGUGAAGGGUGGGAACAGCGGCUCAUGGAUGGCGGUCGGCUUCACCUUCGACGUCUUAGAGUAGCUGAACUGGAACUCGAAUGGCGCUAUGGAAGAGGAAGAAGUGUGGCAGCCAUGAAAUCAAGUCAAUCUAAGAAGAAAUGGUUUGGGAAGCAAAAAUUGGAGACCUCAGUCUCAUGCUCAGAAGCUGACGAUGUAACAGGGGAGAAAGUGAAGGAUAUAUAAUGUAAGGAAGAGAAGUUGCUUGGUCAGGUAUUAUUGUUCUGAUUCUAGCUGGUGUGCUCUCCAUUAUCGGGUAGUAUGAAGUUUCAUGCAUUGGAGUUAUUUAAUAUUUUAUCCUCAUUGGUAUAAAUAUAUAUCAUAACCAUUGCAGUGAAUACUACAUGAAGGUGAAAUAGUUGUUGGGAAAUGGAUACUACAUGAAGGUGAAAUAAUUGUUGGGAAAUCUAACCCACAUAGUAGCAACAAUUGUGGAGCUAUAUGUAUGCAUUUACAUGCAGUUUUUCAGCAAGUAAUGUAUCAUUGAUGUUGGUUAACAUGUUGUGAUUGUUUAUUUAGUAUUUAAUGUAGCUUGUACAUUUAAUCCUUAGUAACCAAUUUGUGGAUAUUUAUUUUUUCUUAUCAGAGAGUUUGUAAGUGGUUGGGUAUCCUUUAUACCCAUUGCUUAUUAAUAAUAUUUCUUUUUUUUUUCUCUUUUUUUGUUGAGAGGCUUUCAGUUCUUUGUCUGAUGCAGAUAGGUUAUUUUCGACCGAUGUGGCGACUUAGAGAACAUAUGGCAUUCUUGGUCAGAAAUCUCCAAUUUUAUAGUCAGAUUUAUGUGAUAGAGUUUCAAUGGAAUAUUUUGCAAUCUCAUAUUCAAGAGUCUCAUGAUUUUACAGAACUUGUGGGCUUUAAUCAAGAGUAUCAGUCAGCCUUGAUUUCACAAACUUUCUUGGACAUUGGUUCUGUGUCGAGGAUACUGGAAAGUAUCAUGAAGCUUUGCUUGCAAUUUUGCUGGAAUAUUGAGAACCAAGAUAAUUUUUCAAAUACUUAUGAACUGAAGCAUAUAGUUGACGUGAUAUGCAUUGUUGGUUUUGUUUGCCAAAUUAUUGUACACGAAUAAGUAUCUCAAUAAAGCCAAUAUUUUCCUCAUACAACUUCAUAUAUUAAAAUUAGUCUAGUAGUAGUCAGAAAAAAGUACAAUAUAGUUGCUUCUUUAUGGUUUUGUUUCCCACAAGCCUCCUUUUUUAGUGGAAGUUGGCAUAAAUUUAUAUGGAAAUAUAUGCUUGAGAGUUUCUAUUUCCCUUCAAGUAUCAAAAGUAGUACCUCCUUUGACUCAAUGAACAAGAAAUGAAAAAAAAUACAAGUUAUGUCAUUUAUUCUUAAAUCUAUAUUGCCAAAAGUUGAACUUUCUCUCUUCACUUUAGAUGUAUUCAUAGAAAUUAACUUUACCUGGGGCAAAUUUAUAUUUAAAUGCAAUAUGUGUGUCUAAUGAAUAAAGGCACGUAUUUUUUCCUCUUUGUCUCACCUGAUUGGACCUUUUCAAAUUACUCGUUACAUCUCUAUAUUUUAGAUUUAGAUAAGAUCUUUGUCCUUUACUGAAAUCUCUUGUUUUGACUUUUCAUUUAUUAUGUUUGUUUUCUCUAACCAAGCAUCUAUAGGAAUUCAACAAGAAAUCAAAUUUCUUGUCCACUAUACUGCGUAGUAGUAGGCUUGCUGGAAGUCAGCGGGCACCCUUUUUGAGACGUUUUCUCUUGCGGUUAAAUCUGAAUUCCUUCUUUGAGGUAAUGUGUAUAUGUGUUGUUUAUAUUGUCUUCCAAUUGGGUGAAGUUUGAUUGAAUAGCAAUGCAGAAGGAUACCAGUACCACUGCCCCAUCAACUACAAGUGGUCAGGUUAGGCACCAAAAACACUUAAAUGAGGAAUUGAUCUUGAAAUUUGAAGAGAACAUGAAAAAACUAUCAAAACUAUCGGACAACAGAUAAUUGGAAGCAUGGCCUUUUUUCUUCACGACAAUGUCAUUUGUUUAUGGAUGGAUUUUGAUUCAACGCCUAGUUAACACAAUAACUUCAGACAUGGUUUUAUAUCGGCUAGUGAGCAAUCUUAUUAAGUAUCAUAUGGUUAUCUGCUACUCCCUGUACAUUGUAGGUAACUUGUGCUUAUCUAUUUUGUCCUUAUAAUGUUCAUUAGCCAGUGUUUGUUAAGGGUGUUAUUUUAAUUCUUCUCAAUAAAAAAAAUUGUAUCAUAUGUAUAUUUGCUUUCAUAGAAUCAUUUUGUUCAUAUAUUUAA